rnacentral:rRNA from 1 species
GACGAACGCUGGCGGCGUGCUUAACACAUGCAAGUCGAACGGAAAGGCCCUGCUUUUGUGGGGUGCUCGAGUGGCGAACGGGUGAGUAACACGUGAGUAACCUGCCCUUGACUUUGGGAUAACUUCAGGAAACUGGGGCUAAUACCGGAUAGGAGCUCCUGCUGCAUGGUGGGGGUUGGAAAGUUUCGGCGGUUGGGGAUGGACUCGCGGCUUAUCAGCUUGUUGGUGGGGUAGUGGCUUACCAAGGCUUUGACGGGUAGCCGGCCUGAGAGGGUGACCGGCCACAUUGGGACUGAGAUACGGCCCAGACUCCUACGGGAGGCAGCAGUGGGGAAUAUUGCACAAUGGGCGGAAGCCUGAUGCAGCAACGCCGCGUGCGGGAUGACGGCCUUCGGGUUGUAAACCGCUUUCGCCUGUGACGAAGCGUGAGUGACGGUACUGGGUAAAGAAGCACCGGCUAACUACGUG